rnacentral:rRNA from 1 species
UACGUAGGGUGCUAGCGUUGUCCGGAAUCAUUGGGCGUAAAGAGCGUGUAGGCGGUCCGGUAAGUCCGCUGUGAAAGUCGGGGGCUCAACCCUCGAAUGCCGGUGGAUACUGUCGGGCUAGAGUACGGAAGAGGCGAGUGGAAUUCCUGGUGUAGCGGUGAAAUGCGCAGAUAUCAGGAGGAACACCUAUUGCGAAGGCAGCUCGCUGGGACGUAACUGACGCUGAGACGCGAAAGCGUGGGGAGCAAACAGG